GAUGAACGCUGGCGGCGUGCCUAAUACAUGCAAGUCGAGCGAACAGACGAGGAGCUUGCUCCUCUGACGUUAGCGGCGGACGGGUGAGUAACACGUGGAUAACCUACCUAUAAGACUGGGAUAACUUCGGGAAACCGGAGCUAAUACCGGAUAAUAUAUUGAACCGCAUGGUUCAAUAGUGAAAGACGGGUUUUCUGUUACUUAUAGAUGGAUCCGCGCCGCAUUAGCUAGUUGGUAAGGUAACGGCUUACCAAGGCGACGAUGCGUAGCCGACCUGAGAGGGUGAUCGGCCACACUGGAACUGAGACACGGUCCAGACUCCUACGGGAGGCAGCAGUAGGGAAUCUUCCGCAAUGGGCGAAAGCCUGACGGAGCAACGCCGCGUGAGUGAUGAAGGUCUUCGGAUCGUAAAACUCUGUUAUUAGGGAAGAACAAAUGUGUAAGUAACUAUGCACGUCUUGACGGUACCUAAUCAGAAAGCCACGGCUAACUACGUG
rnacentral:rRNA from 1 species